AAUGAACGCUGGCGGUAUGCCUAACACAUGCAAGUCGAACGACAGCACCGUAAGAGCUUGCUCACACGUGUGGAGCGUGGCGGACCCUGGCGGUAUGCAUCGGAUUCUACUUUGACGUGGGUGCUAACAUCGGGUAACUUCCUCUAAUAAAACAUACAACCUCCGUGUGUAGGCAGGCGAUCUUAAGACCUUGCGCUAUUGAAUGAGCCUAUGUUGGAUUAGCUCGUUGGCUGGGUAAAGGCCUACCACGGCCACGAUCCAUAGCUGGUAUGAGAGGAUGAUCAGCCACACUGGGACUGAGACACGGCCCAGACUCCUACGGGAGGCAGCAGUGGGGAAUAUUGGACAAUGGGCGAAAGCCUGAUCCAGCAAUGCCGCGUGAGUGAUGAAGGCCUUAGGGUUGUAAAGCUCUUUUACCCGGGAUGAUAAUGACAGUACCGGGAGAAUAAGCUCCGGCUAACUCCGUG
rnacentral:rRNA from 1 species